UACGUGAGGUCCGAGCGUUGUCCGGAAUCAUUGGGCGUAAAGGGCGCGUAGGUGGCGGGACAAGCGUGCGGUGAAAGCCUGGGGCUCAACCCCGGGUCGGCCGUGCGAACUGUUUUGCUUGAGCACUGUAGAGGCAGGCGGAAUUCCGGGUGUAGCGGUGGAAUGCGUAGAUAUCGGGAGGAACAUCAGUGGCGAAGGCGGCUAUCUGGACUAACACUGACACUGAGACACGAAAGCGUGGGGAGCAGACAGG
rnacentral:rRNA from 1 species